CUCCGGUUGAUCCCGCCGGACCCGACUGCUAUCAGAGUGGGACUAAGCCAUGCGAGUCGACGUAGCAAUGCGUGGCGAACGGCUCAGUAACACGUAGUCAACAUGCCCAGGGGACGUGGAUAACCUCGGGAAACUGAGAAUAAACCACGAUAGGUCACGAUUUCUGGAAUGGAUCAUGGCCUAAAUCUACAUGGCCCCUGGAUUGGACUGCGGCCGAUCAGGCUGUUGGUGAGGUAAUGGCCCACCAAACCUAUAACCGGUACGGGCUCUGAGAGGAGAAGCCCGGAGAUGGGCACUGAGACAAGGGCCCAGGCCCUAUGGGGCGCAGCAGGCGCGAAACCUCUGCAAUAGGCGAAAGCCUGACAGGGUUACUCUGAGUGAUUUCCGCUAAGGGGAUCUUUUGGCACCUCUAAAAAUGGUGCAGAAUAAGGGGUGGGCAAGUCUGGUGUCAGCCGCCGCGGUAAUACCAGCACCCCGAGUGGUCGGGACGAUUAUUGGGCCUAAAGCAUCCGUAGCCGGUUCUGCAAGUCUUCCGUUAAAUCCAGCCGCUCAACGGAUGGGCCGCGGAGGAUACUACAGGACUAGGAGGCGGGAGAGGCAAGCGGUACUCAGUGGGUAGGGGUAAAAUCCUUUGAUCCAUUGAAGACCACCAGUGGCGAAGGCGGCUUGCCAGAACGCGCUCGACGGUGAGGGAUGAAAGCUGGGGGAGCAAACCGGAUUAGAUACCCGGGUAGUCCCAGCUGUAAACGAUGCAGACUCGGUGAUGGGCUAGCCUUGUGCCAGCCCAGUGCCGCAGGGAAGCCGUUAAGUCUGCCGCCUGGGGAGUACGGUCGCAAGACUGAAACUUAAAGGAAAUUGGCGGGGGAGCA
rnacentral:rRNA from 1 species